CUAAUUAUUGGGCGUAAAGAGCACGUAGGUGGUUAUGUCAGUCAGAUGUGAAAGCCCCGGGCUUAACUGGGAAUUGCAUCUGAUACUGGCAGUCUAGAGUUUAGUAGGGGAGAGUGGAACUUCUGGUGGAGCGGUGAAAUGCGUAGAUAUCAGAAGGAACACCGGCGGCGAAGGCGACUCUCUGGUCUAAAACUGACGCUGAGGUGCGAAAGCGUGGGGAGCAAACGGGAUUAGAUAAU
rnacentral:rRNA from 1 species